rnacentral:rRNA from 1 species
UAUUAACGCGAAGAACCUUACCUGGUCUUGACAUCCACGGAAGUUUUCAGAGAUGGGGUGGUGCCUUCGGGAACCGUGAGACAGGUGCUGCAUGGCUGUCGUCAGCUCGUGUUGUGAAAUGUUGGGUUAAGUCCCGCAACGAGGGCAACCCUUAUCCUUUGUUGCCAGCGGUCCGGCCGGGAACUCAAAGGAGACUGCCAGUGAUAAACUGGAGGAAGGUGGGGAUGACGUCAAGUCAUCAUGGCCCUUACGACCAGGGCUACACACGUGCUACAAUGGCGCAUACAAAGAGAAGCGACCUCGCGAGAGCAAGCGGACCUCAUAAAGUGCGUCGUAGUCCGGAUUGGAGUCUGCAACUCGACUCCAUGAAGUCGGAAUCGCUAGUAAU